UUUCACAUUUGCAUGAGCUUGACCUUCGGUAUCAUCUUAGACGUGUAUAUUGCUUGCGUGUUUAAUCUGCUAAUGACGACAUUGAGGAGACAUUGAUUCUUGAAGCCUGAAGAAGGGGAAGAGUGGAAGACAAAGGGCAGGCAAGAGUACCUAACCAAAAACAUAAACAAAACAAAAAAAGAAAGAAGCAUUAUAAAAUAAACAUUGUAACUCCGCAAUAAUUCAUGAACAGUACUGCUACUGCUAGACCCUUCAUUAGAUGCACAUUCUCCUCAUGUUGAAGAUUCUUUAAUCCCACAUUCUCCUGGAUUUUCUCAGGAAAAUAGCCACAGCCUAAAGAACUGUGUAAAAUGCAGACUCAGUUUUCACUUCAAUCUUCAGGAGCCAUAUUGUUGAGAAACAGGUGCUUUAAAUCGAAUUAGAUGGUGGUAGCCGUGCAAUAAAUUUUAUUCUUUCAUCCAUGUGUGUUAGGGAUGGCAAUUUACUCCGCGGGGGCAGGUACCCGCCCUGUUUAAACUGGUUUGGGGGGCCGUUUAUGGAAUUUGGGCGGGGAUGGGUUUGAGGGGAGAAAACCAGCGCUGGUUCGGGGAAGUGGCAGGAGAAGGGGCCCCGCACCACCAAGUUUAGAUAUCCACGGUAUCAGCGAUACUGGCAUACAAAUUUGGAGCAUCAUUUGCAUGGAUCACUUCUCAUUCAGUUGCUGCAAAUGUUAUAUUCACAUUGAGUGUAACCCAGGGUAUGAAGAUGCUGCUUUAAAAAUGCAAUGUAGCCUGGCCUUUUUAAACUUUGGCCAAAGUGUGAUAUUUAGCACAGCUCUUUCAGCUGCUAUUGUUUUGUGUUCACAUGGAAUUAUGAAUGGCGAGAUGAUAGUUGGUGAUUUGGUUAUGGGCUCCUGCUCCAGCGAUCUCUUCCACUCAACUUUCUUGGCAGUGUAUAUCGUGAGACUAUACAGAGGUUUCAGUUACUCUAGGAGAGGCCUGAAAUCAGGGAUGAUGCAGAUGCAAAGCCUCUGCAAUUAACUGGGGUUACCUGCCAGAAGAAAAAUUCUUGAUGGGAUAUAUUUUGCAGUGCCACCUGGAAAAAAGUGUGGCUAUAGUUGGUUCUCUAUUAUAUGAGACAGGUUCAGUUACACUCAAUGGAAUCUGCAGCUUUGGCUAGCAACCCAGCGAGCACGAAAGGGUCAGAGGAAUGUGGACUAUGAUCAGUGUCCACGAUAUAGGUCUCAGCCGGUGGCCAUUUUCUAAUCAUUGCAGCUUGCUGUUCCGGUAUGAGAACAUGAUCAUACCUCGUCCUGAUGUAUACACGACGCACAUCAUCCGCACCAUUUCCGUCGAAUUUAGCGUCCAUUAGUGCCUCCAAUGAUACUCCAGGCCGAUGAAGUAUUAAACCUAGCACCUCCUCCUGUUAGAAAAAUCAAUCCAUGUUAUUCAUGUUAACCACCAACUGUUCUAAUUUUUUGUUUUUUUAAAUCACCACAAAUAAUGUAGUUGUUUAUAUCUUUUAAUACGAUUCAUCAAAUUAUUUAUUAUGAGUGAAACAAUGUGGUAUAUGAAAUUAUUAAUUAUUAUAAUUAUUAAAGUGACGGUAAUAUUUGAAUU